rnacentral:rRNA from 1 species
UACAGAGGUCUCGAGCGUUAGGCGGAAUCACUGGGCUUAAAGCGUGUGUAGGUGGAUCGUUAAGUACCUUGUGAAAUCCCACGGCUUAACCGUGGAACUGCUUGGUAUACUGGCGGUCUUGAGCCAGCUAGGGGCUACCGGAACAAAUGGUGGAGCGGUGAAAUGCGUAGAUAUCUGGAGGAACACCGGUGGCGAAGGCGGCAUCCUGGACCAAUUCUGACGCUGAGGAGCGAAAGCCAGGGGAGCAAACGGG